ensembl:lncRNA
AUAGACUAAGAUACAGUAGAAUAGGAUAGAAUACAGUAUAUACAUAUGAGAUGAGUAAUACAUAGACUAAGAUACAGUAGAAUAGUAUAGAAUACAGUAUAUACAUAUAGAAUACAGUAUAUACAUAUGAGAUGAGUAAAACAAAAUACGAUAACAUUAUUAAAGUGGCCAGUGUUCCAUUCUUAAAGGGACCAGUGAUCCAUUCUUAAAGGGACCAGUGUUCCAUUAUUAAAGUGACCAGUGUUCCAUUAUUAAAGGGACCAGUGAUCCAUUAUUAAAGGGACCAGUGAUCCAUUAUUAAAGGGACCAGUGAUCCAUUAUUAAAGGGACCAGUGAUCCAUUAUUAAACCGGCUAGUGAUGGAUAUUUAACAGUCUGAUGGCCGUUAGAUAGAAGCUGUUUUUCAGUCUCUCGGUCCCAGCUUUGAUGCACCUGUACUGACCUCGCCUUCUGGAUGAUAGCGGGGUGAACAGGCAGUGGCUCGGGUGGUUGUUGUCCUUGAUGAUCUUUUUGGCCUUCCUGUGACAUCGGGUGCUGUAGGUGUCAUGGAGGGGAGGUAGUUUGCCCCCGGUGAUGCGUUGUGCAGACCUCACUACCCUCUGGAGAGCCUUACGGUUGAGGGCGGUGCAGUUGCUGUACCAGGCGGUGAUACAGCCCGCCAGGAUGCUCUCGAUUGUGCAUCUGUAGAAGUUUAACAGGGUUUUAGGUGUUCCCUGAAGUCCACGAUCAUCUCCUUUGUUUUGUUGACAUUGAGUGAGAGGUCAUUUUCCUGACACCACACGCCGAGUGCGUGUCGUUGUCGGUAAUCAGGCCCACUACUGUUGUGUCGUCUGCAACUUGAUGGUUGAGUUGGAGGCGUGCGUGGCCAUGCAGUCAUGGGUGAACAGGGAGUACAGGAGGGGGCUGAAGACGCACCCUUGUGGUGCCCCUGUGUUGAGGAUCAGUGUAGUGGAGGUGUUGUUUCCUACCUUCACCACCUGGGGGCGUCCUGUCAGAAAGUCCAGGACCCAGUUGCACAGUGCGGGGUUCAGCUGAAUGAUGAGCUUGGAGGGUACUAUGGUGUUGAAUGCUGAGCUGUAGUCAAUGAACAGAUGGGAUAGGGCAGUGUGCAGUGCGAUGGUGAUCGCAUCAUUGGUUGGCCGUCAUUGUUAAUAAGAAUUUGUUCGUAACUGACUUGCCGAGUUUAAUAAAGGUUAAAUAAAAGAAAAAAGAAAGAACCACAAAAUAGCAAAGUUGGGUCAAAGCUCGCAAGACGACAGCCAUACAGUACGGCGCCAUCUUCCUUUACGUGCUAACAUGUUUCACCAGUUGGGAAUCCCUCGUGUGUGAGAUAUCACAAACAGACCUGUCUGUGUACACUGUCCCCGAUGCAGUGUACUUUGUCCCCGAUGCAGUGUACUCUGUCCCCGAUGCAGUGUACUCUGUC